AAUCCGUGUAUCAUUCGUUCUUUCGUUUUUCAACUGCCAUUCGAAAACAAAAAAUUAAAAAGGAGACUGACAAUUUCGUUUUUCGUUUUCUUAAUCCAACAUGAAAAACGAAUAGAUGCCUGUUUUUUCAUAUUUCGAUUUUAGGCUCAGAUCAAAAGUACGAAACGGAAAAACGGGCCACUGGACUGAAUUAGAUUUUUAUAAUUAAUUGUUUGCAUUUACGUGACCCGGAAGUUCUGUAGGCUAAUGAGAAUUACCAGCAUACUACGAGAGGUACCUAUCGCAGCCAUGGAUAGCUAUGUCUUGUUUCGAGGAGCCAAGCGUGUCACCCUGAAGGAGGAGGACAUGAAUGCUGACAAAAUCAGCAGAAUUUUCCAGGUCUCGUGGUUGAGCCCAUGGUGUCAUCGUGUUGCCACAGCAUUGUUGGCUGCAGGAUCUGCAUUGAACAAUGGCAGAAAAAUUCUACAACUUGCCCAAAAUGUCGAGGGGAUGAGUUUGACCUCAAUAUGCAAAAACUCUCCGGACUGUCUGAUGCAUUGGCUGUGCUGGAAAACACACUCUACUAGUUAAA